rnacentral:rRNA from 1 species
GACAGAGGAGGCAAGCGUUGUCCGGAUCAACCGGGCGUAAAGCGUCCGCAGGUGGCACGGUCAGUGGGUGUGAAAGCCGGUGGCUUAACCGCCGGAGGCCAUCCCAAACUGCCGCGCUGGAGUCGGGCAGAGGGUGCCGGAAUUGCCGGUGUAGUGGUGAAAUGCGUAGAGAUCGGCAGGAAGACCAAGGGGAAGCCAGGCACCUG